rnacentral:rRNA from 1 species
AGAUUGAACGCUGGCGGCAGGCCUAACACAUGCAAGUCGAGCGGUAGAGAGGUGCUUGCACCUCUUGAGAGCGGCGGACGGGUGAGUAAUGCCUAGGAAUCUGCCUAGUGGUGGGGGAUAACGUUCGGAAACGGACGCUAAUACCGCAUACGUCCUACGGGAGAAAGCGGGGGACCUUCGGGCCUCGCGCCAUUAGAUGAGCCUAGGUCGGAUUAGCUAGUUGGUGAGGUAAUGGCUCACCAAGGCGACGAUCCGUAACUGGUACUGAGAGGAUGAUCAGUCACACUGGAACUGAGACACGGUCCAGACUCCUACGGGAGGCAGCAGUGGGGAACUAUUAGGACAAGUGGGACGAAAAGCCUAGGACUCCAAGCCCAAGUGCCGCGUGUGUGAACGAAGGUCUUACGGAUUGUAAAGUCUAACGUUUAAGUACGGGUAAGGUAAGGGUUUAGUAAACGUUUAAUACGUUUAGACUAACGUUUAGACGUUUACCGAACAGAACUAAG